UACAGAGGUCUCAAGCGUUUUUCGGAUUCAUUGGGCGUAAAGGGUGCGUAGGCGGCGCGGUAAGUCGGGUGUGAAAUCUCGGAGCUUAACUCCGAAACUGCAUUCGAUACUGCCGUGCUUGAGGACUGGAGAGGAGACUGGAAUUUACGGUGUAGCGGUGAAAUGCGUAGAUAUCGUAAGGAAGACCAGUGGCAAAGGCGGGUCUCUGGACAGUUCCUGACGCUGAGGCACGAAGGUCAGGGGAGCAAACGGG
rnacentral:rRNA from 1 species